rnacentral:tRNA from 1 species
GGUAGCGUGGCCGAGUGAUCUAAGGUACUGGUUUAAGGCACCAGUCUCUUCGGGGGCGUGGGUUCGAAUCCCACCGCUGCCA